CCCUUAGUUAUCCUAGGUCGCACGCGCCAUACAAUGUGGCGCACAACGAGUCUCCUUGGCCGACAGGAUGUCCCGCGAGCGAUCGGCGACGCAGCCAGCUCGGUCUUCGGGCAGACUCGGUGAGAGUGGCCCGUCCUCCUGGGAGGGCGAUCGUCGAUGCCUCGGGAUUCUGGGCAAUCUGGCAGAGCGCUACGUGACUGGGCUAGACUUUUGUAAUUUUUGGUCUUGAACGAGGAAUGCCUAGUAAUCGCAGGUCAGCAUCCUGCGAUGAUUCGGUCCCUGCCCUUUGUACACACCGCCCGUCGCUCCAUCCGUGGCAUGCGCCGGUGAAGAGGGGGAGGCAGCGUCGGCCGUGUAACAGCGGAUCGUACGUGGAACCCCUCUGAACCUUCGCACGUAGAGGAAGGAGAAGUCGUAACA
rnacentral:rRNA from 1 species